GACGUAGGGCGCAAGCGUUGUCCGGAUUUAUUGGGCGUAAAGAGCUCGUAGGCGGCUCGUUGCGUCGGCUGUGAAAACCCGCAGCUCAACUGUGGGCUUGCAGCCGAUACGGGCGGGCUGGAGUUCGGUAGGGGAGACUGGAAUUCCUGGUGUAGCGGUGAAAUGCGCAGAUAUCAGGAGGAACACCGGUGGUGUAGACGGCUUUCUGGACCGUAACUGACGCUGAGACACGAAAGCGUGGGUAGCAAACAGG
rnacentral:rRNA from 1 species